GUGUGGCAGGCUGCUGGAAAACUGGGAUGUGCAGAUGAACUUUUUCAGGACCCUUUGCACAGGGAGGUUUGUUUAAAGGCUAUUUUGAGAAUGUAGUAACUGGACCAUGAAGCCUUUGAGACAUCAUCAUUAAUUAGGCACAGUACUAGAGUGGAUGUGCUGGACUCCAAAGAUGGACUUCUCUGUAUAGCGUCAGGAACCUUGCAUGCAAAGCAGGGACUGAGGGGAACCAAAUGGCCAGCAUUCUCAGACCCACACCUAGGCAGAGGUGCAGCUUGGGAAACAGAAGCUGGUGAAGGUCCCUGUUGGAAGCUGAGUUCCAGAGCCAGUUCCAGGACCCUAUGCUCCUGGAGGCUCACCGGGCAGUGUUGAGUGCCAACAAGUAUGAUGACUUAGACAUGACGAUGAUUUCCCUGUGACAACAUGGGCUUUGUCUUUGUGGACAGGUCUGAACACACCCACGGGGCACACAGAACAGACAGCCAAGACAGACUUGGAGAAGAACACAGUCAAGUCCCUCUUGGAUAGCUGGAGGCUGUUUUCCAAUGUGCAGACAAGUAGAUCAACAUGUGGUCAAGUGGGAAAUCACCUGUGAGGGCUUAGACUGUUUGUCUCUGAGAACUGAAGGCUCUGCCUGCAGCCAAAACUUCAUUUUUGAUGGCAAAUACACUGUAGAUCCAGAGCUGGCUUUUGCUUGUUUUGUCAUUUCUGAUAGUCUCAGGGUCAUCUAUCACACGAGACAGCAAACUUGGCCUUGCUUGGCUUUGGAAAUAACCUUCUAUUUGUCAAUCACUCCUGCUGUAUUAUGGGCUUGGAGAUGGAGAGGUUGAUAUGUGGCCUUUGCCACAGUACAGGACAGUAAAGAGGGCUCCAGCUCCCUGGCAGAUGAGGCACCCUG
rnacentral:lncRNA from 1 species